UACGUAGGGUGCAAGCGUUGUCCGGAAUUAUUGGGCGUAAAGGGCGCGUAGGCGGCCCGCUAAGUCGAACGUGAAAUCCCUGGACUCAACCCAGGAACUGCGUCCGAUACUGGCAGGCUUGAAUCCGGGAGAGGGAUGCGGAAUUCCAGGUGUAGCGGUGAAAUGCGUAGAUAUCUGGAGGAACACCGGUGGCGAAGGCGGCAUCCUGGACCGGCAUUGACGCUGAGGCGCGAAAGCUAGGGGAGCAAACGGG
rnacentral:rRNA from 1 species